UACGAGGGGGGCGAGCGUUGUUCGGAAUUAUUGGGCGUAAAGGGUGCGUAGGCGGUUUGAUAAGUCUUGUGUGAAAUCUCUGGGCUCAACCCAGAGUCUGCAUAGGAAACUGUCGGGCUUGAGUAUGGGAGAGGUGAGUGGAAUUCCCGGUGUAGCAGUGAAAUGCGUAGAGAUCGGGAGGAACAUCUGUGGCGAAGGCGGGACUCUGGGCCGAUACUGACGCUGAGGAGCGAAAGCGUGGGGAGCGAACAGG
rnacentral:rRNA from 1 species